GCUCCCGCCUGGACUGUUAAACUUCGGCGGCCGGAAGUCCCGCCCACGUGACGUCACGAAACGAUUACUGCCUUAGAAUAUGUAGCCCUCUUAGCACUCAUGUCUUGAAGAAAAGCAUGAAAUCUCUAAAGUUUCCACACGUGCAUCGUACUUGACAAGGUAAUUCACCAAAGCAAAGGAGUAAGCCACAAGAGACAAAGAUGGCAUGCAACCUGUGCAGGAUGUAGGUGAAGGAAAAUUCCAGAAUAACAGGUUUCAGAAAGUCUCUCUGGAACAAUGGAUAUUACACCAUGAUUUGAAAAGCAGGAGUGGGUGAGGAGGAAACGGCCAUCAGAACACUGGCCGACUCCCCUACACGCACUUCAAACGUGCCACAAACGCGGAA